rnacentral:rRNA from 1 species
AGAGUUUGUUCAUGGCUCAGGAUGAACGCUGGCUACAGGCUUAACACAUGCAAGUCGAGGGGCAGCGGGAUUGAAGCUUGCUUCAAUUGCCGGCGACCGGCGCACGGGUGAGUAACGCGUAUCCAACCUUCCGUACACUCAGGGAUAGCCCUUCGAAAGAAAGAUUAAUACCUGAUGGUAUGAUGAAAUUGCAUGAUAGCAUCAUUAAAGAUUUAUCGGUGUACGAUGGGGAUGCGUUCCAUUAGGUAGUAGGCGGGGUAACGGCCCACCUAGCCUACGAUGGAUAGGGGUUCUGAGAGGAAGGUCCCCCACAUUGGAACUGAGACACGGUCCAAACUCCUACGGGAGGCA